AUGACAAAGAAGAGUUUGAUCCUGGCUCAGGAUGAACGCUAGCGAUAGGCUUAACACAUGCAAGUCGAGGGGCAGCAUAAAGUCAGCUUGCNAAACAAAAUGACAAAGAAGAGUUUGAUCCUGGCUCAGGAUGAACGCUAGCGAUAGGCUUAACACAUGCAAGUCGAGGGGCAGCAUAAAGUCAGCUUGCUGAUUUGGAUGGCGACCGGCGGAUGGGUGCGUAACGCGUAUGCAACUUACCUGUCAGAGGGGGAUAACCCGGAGAAAUUCGGACUAAUACCGCAUACACUUGAGAUGCUGCAUG
rnacentral:rRNA from 1 species